AUGUGAAUAAUGGAUCUCCAAGUGGCGUCGCCCGCGUCAUUUUCAAGAUUUUACCCGUUUUGAAGGCAAUAGGGCUGUUGAUAGGGAGAAUGCUAGGCUACUGCAGACUGCAACCAUAGGCGCUGUGUCUAAAGGUUAAGCUCACAUGACGCGGCAGGGAAGGGAGUCCGUGGCGAAAAGUGAAUAUAGCCGAAGUUGGAUAGCGUUAAUUUUUGCGCACGAAAGGCAAGCUGGACACAUCGCAAA